rnacentral:lncRNA from 1 species
GUGAGCUUAUCUCAUUCUUCUAAAAAAGCGAUGAGGAUUGGUUUGAGGAGAGCUGCAGUGGGAGGCUGAGAGUCAAAGCCACACUAUUUCUGGAGGCUUCGUCCUUUUUCCUGGGAUCAGACUCUACUUUUGUGCCAUCAUCCACCUUUGGGGAGGUCCAUGAAGGUCAUCUGCUUUUGGGGGUGCAUUUGGGACCAGGCAGGAAGCUGCACUUCCCAACUUACCCAAACACAGCUUCUCAACGGGGGCUUCCAAGUUGGGGGAAGGGCUGUGCAUGAAGCAGUCUGUGUGUGGGUGUUGGGGAGCUGAAGGGACAUCCCCAGCUGGGCCAGGGAACUCUGGUCUCUCCUUGUUUGUCUCCUACAACUGUGGCAACAACACAAAGCCUCUCAGUAUGUGCAUAUUGCUUUGUAGUAUCUCUUAGAGAGACAAGAUAAUGACUAUUUUUUCUUAGUUUAUCCAUGAAGUUAACAUAUAAUACAUUAAUUGCAUUUAGGAGCAUUUAUUCAACCAAGUGUAACUAGUAAUUUCAAAAAAUGCCCAAUAAUACUGAUGUUACAGCACACUUGGAGUGCUUUGCUCCAGAAAUACCAAGCAUUUCCUCCGUUUGGCACUGGGGAGAAUCCUGGCACUUUGCUUCAGAAACAAAUCUCUUUAAUUCCUGCGGACUCUGCAUCAAGCCUGCAUUGCUCUUUGUUUUUUCCAAGGCUAGGACCUGGGCUGUUUCCCUUCUUUCAUCUUCAGAUCACUUUAGCCACCCACCAAUGUGAUUUCUGAAAGCACUGUGUGAAAAUUUGAGAAUCAUGUUGUGUAAACCAGUCUCUGUUUCAUGGUAAACCUCUCUUCCCUCCACCCUCACAAAGCCCAGAGCCAGGGACAAAAAGGAAUGGGAAAGUGGAUUUGCCUUCCCCAAGACUUCCCAGCCAGGGCACAGGAAGAUAACAAUGCUACCACCCAGCAUCUCCUAAUCUCUCUAGAAAUGAAAAUGCUCUAUCCCCUUCGCACUGCAAGGAAGAGGUGUGAGGCUCUCAAUCCACACAGCUGGAUAUCAAAAUCUUAAAUGUUUUAAGAAAACAAGAUGAGUAAGGUUAGAGAAGUGAGUCAGAAAUGCCAAGUAGCAGAUGUGAAAAUGUGAGUAAACCACAGCCUCAGUGAACUAAAGGCUUUACAACAGAAGGUGCCAAAACUUUUUGAUUCUCACAUGUAUGUUUGUCCAUGUAUCUCUGUGCUGUGGCUUGAAUGUUUACGUCCGCUCCAAAAUUUACGUGGAAAUUUAAUCCCCAAUGCAACAGUAUUAAGAGGUAGGGCCUUUAGGAGGUGAUUAGUCUAUGAAGGCUCCUCCCUCACCAAUGGCAUUAGCACCUUAUAAAAGCAUUAAAGGAAAAUAGCUAGGCCCUUUGUGCUCUUGUGCCCUUCCACUAUGAGAGGACACAGUGUUCGUCUUCUCUGGAAGAGACAGCAUUUAAGGCACCAUCUUCGAAGUAAAGACUGGGCCCUCACCAGACACUGAACCUGCUGGCAUUUGGAUUUUGAACUUCCCAGCCUCCAUAACUGUCUAACCAUAAAAUCAUCAAUACUGAGAAAUUAAAAGGGGAACAUGUCAGGCCUCACUCUUUCUGUAUUGGAUUUCAAGAGUAUUGUCCUUGGUGAGGAAGACAAAGUGAGUGGGCUCAGUAACUCGCCCGAGUCACAGAGUCAAAGCAGGAGCUGGACCCAGAUAGUCCAGAGCUCAUGCUCGUACACACUUCACUUCGCUAUCCUGAAUAAAAAAACCAAGACUCCAGGAGGGCUGCAGCUUCGUCCAAGGUGUCGUGACUUGCCCACAGCCACCCUCUUGGCAAAUGACCCAGUAAACUCCACCUCCAGCUCCUCUACCUCCAGAGCCUGUGUCUGUAUGUCUUCCUUUUGGAGCUUUCUUUCUUGGAGUUCCAAAUCCUGGGGGUUUCUUGACUGGUAAUUUCCAAUCCCCAACCACACACCUGUCAGGAAGUCUUAAAGAUCCAGGUGGAGACCAACAGUCCUUUUGUAGGAGCCAGGAGGCUGGAUGCAGAAGAUGGUGGUAGAUGAGGAGGGAACGGAAAGGCAUCUAACACUCACCUACCCCUGCCCUAAAUCCAGGCAUGGAGGCCACUGACCUUCAUCCCCAACCACAGCUGCAGCAGAGUGGCAGGAAUUCAAGGAAGGAGGAGCAUGUGGUGUGGGAGAAGGAAGGGAAGAGGACCUGCACUAGGAGAGGAUGUUUCCUCUCAGACAACCUACACAGCCAGCUGCCAUGUGAUAAGCUGCCCUAUGGAAAGACUCCUGUGGGAAGAGACUAAGGGAAGGCUCCGGCCAAAGCCAGCCAGGGCCUGAGGUCCCCAGUCCAACAGCCCACAAGGAACUAAAUCCUACCAACAGCCACAGGAGUGAGCCUAGAAGACAGUCCUCCCCCAAUCAAGUCUUCAGAUGAGACAGCAGCCCCACUGACCACAGCUUGACUGCAAUCUCUUGAGAGUUCUUAAGCCAGAGACACCCAGCUGGGUCACACUUGAUUCCUGACCCAUAGAAACUAUGAGAUGGUAAAUAUCUGCUAAUUUUGAGAUGCUAAAUUCUGGGGUAAUAUUUACACAGUAGGGGUUUAUAAACAAAUGAGAGGUAUGAAGCUACAGCUGAUUGAACAUGGAAGCAGCCCACUCACAAAACGAAUUUCAUGCUGACUCACCAACACACUAAGCCAGUGCUUCUGAAAUUCUGCAGAAUUCUCCACCUGCAAAUAUAGAGGAACACAUAAGGAUGGAAAGAUGCAGGUUAUUUCAAUGUGAGAGCUUUAAAAUCCACAUGAGUGUCAUUCCUUUCAAAGUGGUCACCUUGGCUGAGAGUACAUUUAUUCUAGUAACACUAUUGUUCCAACCACAACUAGAACGACUCUUAGAUAUUCCAGUGUAAGUAGCAAAGAGGGCGUUGGCAACAAUUCAAUAGCAACAGAUACUGUAAAACAGGAACGCUAAGACAUCUUUCUUUUUUCUUUCUUUCUUUCUCUUUCUUUCUUUCUGUUUCUUCCUUCCUUCCUUCCUUUCUUUCUUUCUCUUUCUCUCU